rnacentral:rRNA from 1 species
CCGGCGACCGGCGCACGGGUGAGUAACACGUAUGGAACCUGCCCGCAGCAGGGGGAUAAGCGGAAGAAAUUCCGUCUAAUACCGCGUAACAACGUUGGGAGGCAUCUCCCGAUGUUUAAAGAUUUAUCGGCUGCGGAUGGCCAUGCGGCGCAUUAGCUAGUCGGCGGGGUAACGGCCCACCGAGGCGACGAUGCGUAGGGGUUCUGAGAGGAAGGUCCCCCACACUGGUACUGAGACACGGACCAGACUCCUACGGGAGGCAGCAG